CUCCUCUCAGGAGCACACCUGGAGAGUUUCCAGUCCUCUACCAGUCUCAGCUAUGGGAGGGAGAAUCAAGCAGAGGUAUACCCAUUCCAUUCCUAGCUUGGGCAGUGGCUAAUGAGUGGAAGACAAUCUGCUAUAUGU